UACGUAGGGGGCGAGCGUUGUCCGGAAUCAUUGGGCGUAAAGAGCGUGUAGGCGGACUGGAAGGUCUGGUGUGAAAGCCCGGGGCUCAACCCCGGAGGGUCACUGGAAACCGACAGUCUUGAAUCUGGAAGAGGAGAGUGGAAUUCCUGGUGUAGCGGUGGAAUGCGCAGAUAUCAGGAGGAACACCAAUGGCGAAGGCAGCUCUCUGGUACAUGAUUGACGCUGAGACGCGAAAAGCGUGGGGGAGCGAAACAGG
rnacentral:rRNA from 1 species